rnacentral:rRNA from 1 species
GAUGAACGCUGGCUACAGGCUUAACACAUGCAAGUCGAGGGGAAACGACGGGGAAGCUUGCUUCCCCGGGCGUCGACCGGCGCACGGGUGAGUAACGCGUAUCCAACCUGCCUCUGACUGAGGGAUAACCCGUCGAAAGUCGGCCUAAUACCUCAUGGUAUCGUCUGCGGGCAUCCAACGACGAUUAAAGAUUUCAUCGGUCAGGGAUGGGGAUGCGUCUGAUUAGCUUGUUGGCGGGGUAACGGCCCACCAAGGCUACGAUCAGUAGGGGUUCUGAGAGGAAGGUCCCCCACAUUGGAACUGAGACACGGUCCAAACUCCUACGGGAGGCAGCAGUGAGGAAUAUUGAUCAAUGGGCGAGAGCCUGAACCAGCCAAGUAGCGUGCAGGAAGACGGCCCUAUGGGUUGUAAACUGCUUUUAUGCGGGGAUAAAGUGAGGGACGUGUCCCUCAUUGCAGGUACCGCAUGUAUAAGGACCGGCUAAUUCCGUG